rnacentral:rRNA from 1 species
GGGGGGAGCAAGCGUUGUUCGGAAUUACUGGGCGUAAAGGGCGCGUAGGCGGCCUAGUAAGUCGAGUGUGAAAUGCCGGGGCUCAACUCCGUGCACUGCGUUCGAUACUGCUUGGCUGGAGAAAGGUAGAGGCGAGCGGAAUUCCCGGUGUAGCGGUGGAAUGCGUAGAUAUCGGGAAGAACACCUGUGGCGAAGGCGGCUCGCUGGGCCUUAUCUGACGCUGAAGCGCGAAAGCGUGGGGAGCAAACAGGGAUUAGAUACCCUGGUAGUCCACGCCGUAAACGCUGGGUACUAGGUGUCGGGAGGCUUGGCCCUCUCGGUGUCGACCCUAACGGAUUAAGUACCCCGCCUGGGGAGUACGGUCGCAAGGCUG